GAUGAACGCUGGCGGCGUGCCUAAUACAUGCAAGUCGAGCGAACAGACGAGGAGCUUGCUCCUCUGACGUUAGCGGCGGACGGGUGAGUAACACGUGGAUAACCUACCUAUAAGACUGGGAUAACUUCGGGAAACCGGAGCUAAUACCGGAUAAUAUAUUGAACCGCAUGGUUCAAUAGUGAAAGACGGUUUUGCUGUCACUUAUAGAUGGAUCCGCGCCGCAUUAGCUAGUUGGUAAGGUAACGGCUUACCAAGGCAACGAUGCGUAGCCGACCUGAGAGGGGGAGAGGAGAAACUGGAAAUGAGACAAGAGGGAGACACCGACGGGGGGAGCAAGAUGGGAUUAGGCAGGAAGGGGGGAGGACAUAACGGAGGAACGCGAGGGGAGUGAUGAAGGUGUUCUGAUCGAAGAACGCUGGGAUGCGGAAAGAACAAAUGUGUAAGAAACCAUGCACGUCUGGAGGGUGCCAAAGCAGAAAGCCAGGGCUAACUACGU
rnacentral:rRNA from 1 species